GCGGACAGAUGGGAGCUUGCUCCCUGAUGUCAGCGGCGGACGGGUGAGUAACACGUGGGUAACCUGCCUGUAAGACUGGGAUAACUCCGGGAAACCGGGGCUAAUACCGGAUGCUUGAUUGAACCGCAUGGUUCAAUUAUAAAAGGUGGCUUUUAGCUACCACUUACAGAUGGACCCGCGGCGCAUUAGCUAGUUGGUGAGGUAACGGCUCACCAAGGCAACGAUGCGUAGCCGACCUGAGAGGGUGAUCGGCCACACUGGGACUGAGACACGGCCCAGACUCCUACGGGAGGCAGCAGUAGGGAAUCUUCCGCAAUGGACGAAAGUCUGACGGAGCAACGCCGCGUGAGUGAUGAAGGUUUUCGGAUCGUAAAACUCUGUUGUUAGGGAAGAACAAGUACCGUUCGAAUAGGGCGGUACCUUGACGGUACCUAACCAGAAAGCCACGGCUAACUACGUGCCAGCAGCCGCGGUAAUACGUAGGUGGCAAGCGUUGUCCGGAAUUAUUGGGCGUAAAGCGCGCGCAGGCGGUUUCUUAAGUCUGAUGUGAAAGCCCCCGGCUCAACCGGGGAGGGUCAUUGGAAACUGGGGAACUUGAGUGCAGAAGAGGAGAGUGGAAUUCCACGUGUAGCGGUGAAAUGCGUAGAGAUGUGGAGGAACACCAGUGGCGAAGGCGACUCUCUGGUCUGUAACUGACGCUGAGGCGCGAAAGCGUGGGGAGCGAACAGGAUUAGAUACCCUGGUAGUCCACGCCGUAAACGAUGAGUGCUAAGUGUUAGAGGGUUUCCGCCCUUUAGUG
rnacentral:rRNA from 1 species